GCUUAGAAAUGUUUGGAAUUCUACAUGGGUUACAAAGAGUGAAAAUCUAGUUUAAACUGGUUGGGCUAUUCUUCUGUCAGAGUGACUAAAGUUGAGUCCAGAAACACUCCCAAACACCUAUAUUUGCCUGAAUAUCAAUUUCUGUGGAACGUUGGAACUGCAAUGUGAAAAAUAUUUUCUAUGUUCUGCAUUUAUUUUCUCAAGAUUGACCUACUGCUUUCUUACCAUAAAUUUUGAAACAGUAAUUCCAAUAUAACAUAGAUGACAGCUUAGAAUUAUAUUUUAUUUUGCUUUUGGUAGGCAAUGGGAUGGGGACCAGAGCUGAAGACGGGAGAUAAUGAGGGAUGGUCCUCAGAGGCAGUGAUGGGCUGGAAGCCUGCUUUGUAGGCUGUUCACACUAUCUCCAAGGUGUAUGCACAACAGGUUUAUAAUUCAAGCGUUUUGUAACUGUUCAGUAAACCUGCCUGGACAAAGUUCAUUUGAAGGGGUGUGUAUUCUAGGCGAGAGGACUGAAAAUCUAGACCUUUACAUGGUGGGUAACUGCCCAGUCUUGUUUCUCAGACUAACUUGUUCAUCCACUGCAGAUGCAGCCUUCAUCCCUGCACAGUAGGCAAAAAGCCAUUGUUUUCUUUGCUUGGUUGGUGGUUUACUUCCUUGUCACCUUCUCACACAGUUGGGCCACGGGCUUACCGCUGCUCUCACCAUGAGCAGCCUUGUAUUUUUCCAUCAAUACCUAGAGAAUUUAAUUCCUUCCACAUAUAGUGAUUCCAGUUCCUGAACAACUGUUUGGUUUUGUGACAUGACAGCUUUGUGAAGAGGUGAAGUGAAAAUUCACUGAGAAAUAGAUCUCUUCUUAUCCGUCCACUUGCUUAUCUCUGGGUUCUCCAAGACCACAUCAUUCCAAUUUACAACAAAUGAAGCAGAACCAUGUGAAAUUGCUUUUUCUGUAGGUCAGAGGCAGUUAAAUAUAGGUAAUUUCACAUGGUUCAACUUCUACAUAUACAAGCAAAUUCUCUGAUUAAA